rnacentral:rRNA from 1 species
UACGUAGGGGGCUAGCGUUGUUCGGAAUCAUUGGGCGUAAAGCGCGUGUAGGCGGCUUGGUAAGUCCGUUCUGAAAGCCCGGGGCUCAACCCCGGGAGGCGGAUGGAUACUGUCAAGCUUGAGUCCGGAAGAGGAGAGUGGAAUUCCUGGUGUAGCGGUGAAAUGCGUAGAGAUCAGGAGGAACACCCGUGGCGAAGGCGGCUCUCUGGUCGACAUCUGACGCUGAGACGCGAAAGCGUGGGGAGCGAACGGG